UGUGUUCUCCCUGAGGCUUCCUCCCCUUCCCCCCGGUGCUGUGGAGAGUUCACACCUGCAGCGUAUCACUCAUCAGGAGCGCUACUUAAGACCUGCUGCGGCUCUCUACAGCGCCUGAGUCUCGUCUUACCUACCUCACGUGCCUCCUGCCCAGAUCACCGCAGCCAGCUCCAGCACUCUCUCUCCUUCUCGGACUCUUGGAUUCACCCCUCCUGUUUCCACUUACCUGUACAAUAAACCUGUUCUAAACUGC